GUGGGGAAUUUUGGACAAUGGGCGCAAGCCUGAUCCAGCAAUGCCGCGUGCAGGAAGAAGGCCUUCGGGUUGUAAACUGCUUUUGUACGGAACGAAACGGCUCUGGUUAAUACCCGGGGCUAAUGACGGUACCGUAAGAAUAAGCACCGGCUAACUACGUGCCAGCAGCCGCGGUAAUACGUAGGGUGCAAGCGUUAAUCGGAAUUACUGGGCGUAAAGCGUGCGCAGGCGGUUUUGUAAGACAGGCGUGAAAUCCCCGGGCUCAACCUGGGAAUGGCGCUUGUGACUGCAAAGCUGGAGUGCGGCAGAGGGGGAUGGAAUUCCGCGUGUAGCAGUGAAAUGCGUAGAUAUGCGGAGGAACACCGAUGGCGAAGGCAAUCCCCUGGGCCUGCACUGACGCUCAUGCACGAAAGCGUGGGGAGCAAACAGGAUUAGAAACCCCGGUAGUCC
rnacentral:rRNA from 1 species